GGCGUCUGUUCCGUAGGUCAGAGCUUUGCCUACCACAGCAAGUCUGCUAGUUGACGUCCCGUCAGCGACACGCCCACUGUGCGGAGAGAGCCCCUAAAGGCAAACCCGCAGCUGCUGAAUAGCAGUUCAGAGACUCAAUGAGCGUGGGUUCAGCUUCCCCAGCUGGGCUUAAGAUAGAGCCCGACCCCCCUAUCAAUAGGAGGGAACAAUCGGAACCUGCGGAAGGAUCAUUAAAGAAUACCCGGCCUCGUGGCCUUAUUCUCACCCUUUUGUCUACCAAACUUUGUUGCCUUGGCGGCGCCAUAAAGGCCUAUAAGCCGCCAGAGGACCCAAAACCCUAGAAUUCAAGCCGUCUGAGUCACUAUAUAAUAGUUAAAACUUUCAACAACGGAUCUCUUGGUUCUGGCAUCGAUGAAGAACGCAGCGAAAUGCGAUAAGUAAUGUGAAUUGCAGAUAUCAGUGAAUCAUCGAAUCUUUGAACGCACAUUGCACCUCCUGGUAUUCCAAGAGGUAUGCCUGUUCGAGCGUCAUUACAACCCUUGCGCUCAGCGUAGUCUUGGGCUCGCCCUGUAGGGCCUGCCUCAAAUGCAGUGGCGGCACCGUAUAACCCCUAAGCGUAGUACUAUUCGUCGCUCUCGGAGGCUAUAUGGAUGCCUGUCAGGAACCCCCACUUUCUAGGUUGACCUCGGAUCAGGUAGGGAUACCCGCUGAACUUAAGCAUAUCAUAAGCCGCGAGAGGAA
rnacentral:rRNA from 1 species